UAAAACUAUACUCCCUUCACCAACGUCGGCCUACUCCCUCCUCACUUUACAUUUCUCCCCCAAAUCUCCAAAACCCUAGCCGCCUUCUCUCCCUCCUUCCUCUCGGUGGAGCCACCGAUGUACGCCGCCAUGCACCACUGUUCACCCACGCCUCCCUCUCUACUUCCCUCCGUUCUCCUCCUCUCGCCUCCUUCUCUUCUGAACCGAACAGUUACAUCACCAAUUGAGGGAAAACGAACCCUAGGUAGGCGGCUUCCCGCAUUCGAGCGCCGUCGCCCUUCCCUUCUCCGGCGAAACCACCGUUCGUUCGGAACUCGUCGUCGCCGUCCGACAGUGCCGCACGGCUGAGGUCUCGCCGCUUCCCGGCGUGGUGAAGCAGCCGCUGCUGUCCCGUAAUUUGCCGCCGUCGUUCCCUCCCGGCGUUCGCGCACCAUUACCGAAGUCCAGCAAGGCUCGUCGUCCUCUUACGAGGUCUCUGCCUCAGCUGCUGUUCGACGAAGCUCGAGGCGCCGCCCUCUCACUUUCGCUGUUCCCCGACUAAAGCUAAGCCCUCUCUAGCCCAUCAUAACUUCCUUCGUUAUUUGCAAAUUUUGAUUGGUAUUGAGGUGUUGAGCUUGUGGCAGCUAGAACAAAUUUGGAUUUUAGGCUUAGGGUUAUCAGCUCCUAUUCUACUGAUUGAAAUAAUCGUUGGCACUAUUGGAAGGGAACCUAUAUGUACACAUGAUGAGUUCCUAUGUUCUGAGAGUUGAGUACUCCUAAGCUGCCGGGUUUAAGUGGAGGGCAGUAGCGUUUUGUUCCUCAGUUUUCAUCAUGUAAUAGCUCCAAAUUGCUUCAUGCUUGGUGUCUUUUUCUUUUCUACUGAUUUACUUGAGAUUUAGCAUGCUAGUUGAGGUUCCUAAACCGUGGUGCCUCUAUAUGAUGUUAAGUUGUAGUAUGGUUACCUGAAAACUGCGGCUGGUUUGCAAAGGCUCCUAGACCUCAGCUCUCUUACUCCUUAGCUUGUUAUGUUGCUGGAGAAGUUCUAAAAAGUGUGGGAGCGUUCGUAGGUAGUGUGGGCUGUGGGGAGGGUUUUUAUAGCCGAAAUCGUGUACUAGUGAAGCAUUAAUGUGGAUUGUUGCAUGUUUUGUUUCCUUCUGCAGCAGGUACUCUUCUCUGGGUCAUUGCAGCCACUUUAACUGCAAGUCCUUGAUGGUGAUUUUUGCAGGUGCACAACAAGGGUGUAGUGGUUGUUUGGCUGUGCUCUGCAGGCUGUUGCAGGCUGAAUUGUCUCAUGGCAGCCUUCGGUUCAGGCUGAGAGUGCAAGAGUAGCUGUUACACUGCCUCUUUUGGCUUUUGGCAAGGGCUGAUUUGUUCACCGAGCUGGGAAGAAGACCGGCCAUAGGUUCGCUAGUUCCUACCAAAGACCAGACCGAGGGUUUGGGCAUAAGGAGAAAGCCCACAAGUGCAAGCUACAUGGCACUUGAUUUCUUAAGCUCUUGGCCAAUAUUUGAAUACUCUUUGUAAUAGCAUUCAAGUUCUCUUCUUUUUUUUUACAAGUGUAGUAGAACACUUUAGUUCGGAAAUAAAGUUCAAGACAUGUUCAUCUUGACCUUCUCAUGUAUUAUUUUUCCUUUAUUUUUGUUAUUAUUUAUUUUUUUGUAAGCUAGAACUUAGCUCGGAAUAUUUACGUUGUACUUCAUUUAUUUAAGGAAUUAACGAGUGCAUAUUCAUUCUA